rnacentral:rRNA from 1 species
AUGGCGGGCCUCGGGUUUGAGGAGACCAAGCUCCGGCUCGGCCUGCCAGGCGGCAGCAACGAGGCCGAGGAGGCGGCCGCCGCGGUGAGGAGCUCCGGCAAGAGGGGCUACGCCGAGACCAUCGACCUCGUGCUGAAGCUGGAGCCAGCGUCGGCGGCCGCGCCGCCGUCCGAGGACGACGAGGAAGUGGCCGAUGGUGUCGCGGAGGCGCAGCCCUCUCCGGCUGCUGCCGACGGGCAGUUGAAGCGGUCGCCGAGCCAGUGCAGCGUGGUCACCGCCGCGCAGCCGGACGCGGACCCCGAGAAGCCGCGCGCGCCCAAGGCGCAGGCGGUGGGGUGGCCGCCGGUGCGGUCGUUCCGGAGGAACAUGCUGGCGGCGACGGCGGAGAGAGGGGGGGCGGCGCUGGUGAAGGUGAGCAUGGACGGCGCGCCCUACCUGCGCAAGGUGGACAUGGGCACCUACAAGAGCUACCAGGAGCUGUCCAAGGCCCUGGAGAAGAUGUUCAGCUCCUUCACCAUCGGCAACGACUGCUCGCAGGCUCAGGGGAUGACGGGCAUGAACGAGAGCAAGCUGGUGGACCUGCUCAACGGCUCCGACUAUGUGCCCACCUACGAGGACAAGGACGGCGACUGGAUGCUCGUCGGCGACGUCCCCUGGGAGAUGUUCGUCGCGUCCUGCAAGCGCCUCCGGAUAAUGAAAGGAUCAGAAGCCAUCGGCCUGGGUCGGUGCCCUCUUAAUUGUCAGAUUUACAUGUGCAUGCUCGACUACCGUUUGCUAACUCCCUUUGCCUUCUGUUUUUUCAGCACCAAGGGCAAUGGAGAAAUGCAAGAGCAGGAGCUGACCGUUUGCUACCAAUUCAAGAUUAUGGCUCUGCUUGCCCAACUAUGUACCAUACUAUACUGCGUACUCCUACUUCCUAUGUUUUAUCUUGUUGUUAUAUAUGUGUAG